ACGAACGCUGGCGGCGUGCUUAACACAUGCAAGUCGAGCGGUAAGGCCCUUUCGGGGGUACACGAGCGGCGAACGGGUGGGUAACACGUGGGUGACCUGCCCUCAGCUCUGGGAUAAGCCUGGGAAACCGGGUCUAAUACUGGAUAUGACUCCAUGACGCAUGUUGUGGGGUGGAAAGCCUUGUGCGGCUGGGGAUGGGCCCGCGGCCUAUCAGCUUGUUGGUGGGGUGANGGCCUACCAAGGCGACGACGGGUAGCCGGCCUGAGAGGGCGACCGGCCACACUGGGACUGAGACACGGCCCAGACUCCUACGGGAGGCAGCAGUGGGGAAUCUUGCGCAAUGGGCGAAAGCCUGACGCAGCGACGCCGCGUGAGGGAUGACGGCCUCGG
rnacentral:rRNA from 1 species